UGCUUGGAAAGAAGCUUGUGGGUCAACGACUCCAUCAACAAUUGUGAUUCCUAAAGGGACAUAUUUGUUAAGUCAAGCAACGUUGGAAGGUCCUUGCAAGGCUCCUAUUGAGCUUCAAGUUCAGGGCAAUGUAAAAGCACCAGCCGAUCCUAAAGCUUUCAUGGAGCCUAAAUGGGUAGCUUCCUUCAUGUUGAAAACUUCAAAUUGUUUGGUGGAGGAGCUUUCGAUGGACAAUGAACCACUGCUUAUAAGAGAGAAGGUUGCGAAAAACACGACUUCUGUAGUAACCUCCCCAUCAAUGUAAGGUUUGAUUAUUUAACAAAUGCAAUGAUACAAGAUAUAACUAUAAGAGAUAGUAAACAAUUCCACGUUAAUGUUUUGGGAUGCAAAAAAUUACUUU